rnacentral:lncRNA from 1 species
GCACCACACCGUGCGGUGUACAGCAUGCAUGCCCGUGCACGUGUGCUGCUAUACUGAUGCAUGCCGCAUGCACCAUCCAUCAUGCAAUGGAUGGUCUGUGUGAUGCACUGCACCGUGCGGUGCAUCGUGUGCACAGCAGAGGAUCCUUGCCUCAAAGAAAAUCGUAGCUAAUAACCUUUUCUUCAUUUCUUGUCCCUUGUACAAGGUGGUGCAAUUGCUAAUGGCUGAGGGACACAUUAAGGGUGAAGGAUUCACCCUCACUGUUAACAACUAGGAGCA